ACUCAGGUCCACACAUGCAAAUAAGGGAUUGAAAGUGACGUUCAGUGAUUGGAUAGUUACAGAAAAUGGUUACUGUUGCGUUCUAGUGGAGCUCUAUAUAAGCAGGCUGGCUGAACCCUUCAGUUCAGUUCUGUUCUGGCCUGUGAAUAAACAAGAGCUGUUUGAAGAAUCGCUGUGUCAUCUGAUAUGUUCACCCACAACUUAACAGAAAUUAGUAGCAGAUCAACCCUAUUUGGUCACUCUCAGAUGACUCCAAAGUGUUGGUGAGGCAAGGCUUCCUCAGCAAGAUUUAUUCAUUGUGUUUAGUGUUUAAUAAUUAUUGCUUUAAUUAUGCUUUCCAGCAAGGCAAUUGCAAAAGCGUUUGUGACCCCCCUCUCCCCACUUCCUAUUAUUAUUAUUAUUUAUUAAAUUCAUAUACCACAAUUCACCUGAAGAUCACGGGUGGGCUACAAUAUAAAAACACAAAAAUGCAUAGCAUAAUAACAAACAAAACAAUAUCCCGCCCCACAGUUUAAAAGGCCAUAGAUUAUUUAAUUAGCCAAAGGCCUGGGAGAAGAGGCAUGUUUUUGCCUGGCACCUAAAGAUAUGUAAUGAAGGCGCCAGGCGAGCCUGUCUGGGGACAGCAUUCCACAUUAAAAAAACCAAAAACUCCAUAUUUUUAAAAUUCAAAUAAGUAUCUACAUAACAACUGCUGUGGUAGCCUCCUAUGAGAGUUCUGUACCACCUCUGCUUAGCCGGCUAAUUUUUGAACUGGCUUUAAAUAUUAAAACUGGGAGCUGCAGGAAAGGGCUGGAGGGGAAGGAAGCUUUAAAACAAUCUACCCUAUCCUCUUCCCCAUCACUUUUCUGAGUGACAUCCACUUCUCCCUGCAUAAAAGCUGUCAUGCACAGGCCCAGUUUUGAAGCAGGAAAUGUUGGCUAAUUACUGGCUAACUCAAUAUAACACAUCAGAAUGUCAAACCUUGUAAAUAAAAAAAGCAUAACUAAACAAACAAAAUGUAAAAUAUUUUCUAAAACCAGGAAUGUAGGAAAUUGCCUGAGAGCAUACCUACCAUUUACUUUUUCUCAGACACACAAAUUCCCACCAAGACUAAUUAUUUUGUUUUGUUUUCUUUCUUCUCACUUCCUUUGAUUUCAGCUGUUCCAAGUGUCCCUGCAUACCAGCAAAAAUCCCUAUGUUAAUCACCGUCCCAGUGCUGUCCCAUGGAGAUGUUAGGGUUAUCUUGUUAAUGGUUUGUUGUUGUGAGUUGCUGGAGCUGUCAUUCUGCAGGUUUCCGCCUGCUCCCUCAGAUCUCUAAAGGUUAAAUAUUUGAGACUGCAAUCCUAGGCCCCAUGGGUAGCAGAUAUGGUGCCCUCCGUGGUCUCCUUUGCUGGACUAUCAUUCUCUUAACUCCUGACAAUUGGUCGUGCUGCCUGGGGCUGAUGGGAGCUGCAGUUCAAGCACACCUGGGGAGCGCCACAUUACCUACCUCUGCUAUACCUGGUAGUAAGCGUUCCUGAACUCAAUAUGGGGCAUAUUUCUGCGUGGGCAUGUACAGGAUUUCACUAUGGGUGAGUGCAUGGGGAGUGUCAUCAUAUGCCUCAAUCAUUAGGUUGCACUGGACCGAGUUGCAUCUGGGUGGGGUCAGAAACUUCCUUUUGCUGUUUUGUUCUUAAGGAGAACAAUAACAUUAUUGUCUAGCUUCCUGACCGGAAUAUCCUCUAAGUCUAAGCAACCUGAGGGCAAUCUGUGGCCAGCAUGCAGCCCUCAAAAGCUUUUUGUGUGUCUCAAACAGGUGCCCAUCGCCCUCUACUGACAAAUCCCACUCCUGCUAAAUCUUGCUGUCUCCUCAACUCCUCCCCCAUCCUUCCCAUGUGAAGUCUGCUGCUCCAGCCUUGCCCAAAAGCUGUUUGACAGACUAAGAGGAUUGAAACUGUGAUGAGGAGGAUGAUGAUGUACAGGGAGCAGUUAACCAACCACGUGCAUGCAUGAAUACCCCCAACUCACCACCAGCUUCAACCACACUCAGUGGGCACCCAACUGCCUGCCCACCCACAGUGACAUGUGGUCCUCGAGGGCAAAAAGAUUGCCCACCCCUACUUUGAGCUUUGGAGGCUGAGUAUAUUGUGACUCUAUAAUGCAUGUGUGCAAAUCCACCUUUUGCAGACAUUAAUAUUCCAUGGGAUUCACCACCUGCCAUUUCAUACACUGCAGAAAGUGAGGAUUGUCUAAUUUUUAAAGCCUUCUAAGUUGGCGGCCAUCACUGCCUCUUGUGGGAGUGAGUUCCCUAGAUGAACAGCAUUGCAUGAAGGAGUACUUUCUUAUAUCUGUCCUGAGUUUUCUAACAUUCAGCUUCAUAGGAUGUCUAUGAGUUCUAAUGUUAUGAGAAAGAGUGCCAUACAUAAUUUUAUGAAUUUCUAGUGUGUCACCUCUUGCUUGCCUUUUCUCUAAACUAAAAAACCUCAAACACUGCAAUCUUUCCCCACAGAGGAGUGGCUCCAUCCCCACAAUCAUUUUGGUUGCCCUUUCCCAAACCCUUUCCCACUCUACAAUAUCCUUUUUGAGGUGAGGCAACCAGAACUGAACAAAGUAUUCUAAGUGCAGUCACUGCAUAGAUUUGUAUUGUAGCACCCUGCUUGUGGUUAACGCUUAGCUGGAAUGAAAUAUUCAACGCAGCAAUAGAGAAAUUAAAAUAAUAAUUUAUUUGUCAGACAAAUAAAUGAUAGACACAGUGGUAUAUGGUUACCAAAGCUCUGCCCCCUCCAGCCCUGAUGGCCAGCACUUAUAUUUCCUCAGCCCAGCCCUCUUGCUCCUCCUUUGGCUGCCUCUGUCCAAUCAGCCUGGUUGAAAUUCCUAUUGGCUGUUUGCUAGAACCAAUCAUAAAAGAUACACCCAUUUCCUAUUACCUUUUAUGGGAGACAAAGAGCUAUAUUUCCUUCUAUCCAUAAAUGGCAGACAAGUAGCCAUAUAUCUUACAUUUGCCUCAACAAGGCACCUUAAUUACCAGAUCACCUUUUGCCCCUGUUGCCCCUGCAUUCCAAAACAAAUGGCUAAAACAAAUGGCUCAUGGUAUUAAAUUCUAUCUAAACAGAGAUCUUGGGUUCACAUUCUCACACACCAUCAAUGAAAUAAGAAUCUAACAUAAGAAUCUAACAUUUCUUACUUUCUAAAUCCUUUGCAUAAUUACAUUAAGCCAACAAAUCUCAUACAUAACAUAGAUAGCUUUUUAGAAGAAAAGGCCUUUGCAAAGUAAAAAGGAACUCAGUAAAAACAGCUUCAAAAGAAGCCUCUUCAGUUUACACCCUCCUUUCCCAGCCAGCUGCUUUUCCCAUUAGCUCUUCCCAAAAUUUAUUGCCCUUUAACUCUCUCGGUAUACCUUAAAGCUUAGGAAAAUAUGGCUAGAGUCUGAUGGGAGGCACAUGGUAUUAUUUUCUGUUAAACAAUAAAUCUUACUAUUUACCAACUCUU